rnacentral:rRNA from 1 species
UACGAAGGGGACUAGCGUUGUUCGGAAUCACUGGGCGUAAAGCGCACGUAGGCGGAUUCGUAAGUUAGGGGUGAAAUCCCGGGGCUCAACCUCGGAACUGCCUUUGAUACUGCGGGUCUCGAGUCCGAUAGAGGUGGGUGGAAUUCCUAGUGUAGAGGUGAAAUUCGUAGAUAUUCGGAAGAACACCAGUGGCGAAGGCGGCUCACUGGACCGGUAUUGACGCUGAGGUGCGAAAGCGUGGGGAGCAAACAGG